UGCAGUUUCAGGAUUGGGUGAGACAGAGA
rnacentral:piRNA from 2 species